rnacentral:rRNA from 1 species
GGUGAACGCUGGCGGUAGGCCUAACACAUGCAAGUCGAACGGCAGCACAGUAAGAGCUUGCUCUUACGGGUGGCGAGUGGCGGACGGGUGAGGAAUACAUCGGAAUCUACUUUUUCGUGGGGGAUAACGUAGGGAAACUUACGCUAAUACCGCAUACGACCUACGGGUGAAAGCAGGGGAUCUUCGGACCUUGCGCGAUUGAAUGAGCCGAUGUCGGAUUAGCUAGUUGGCGGGGUAAAGGCCCACCAAGGCGACGAUCCGUAGCUGGUCUGAGAGGAUGAUCAGCCACACUGGAACUGAGACACGGUCCAGACUCCUACGGGAGGCAGCAGUGGGGAAUAUUGGACAAUGGGCGCAAGCCUGAUCCAGCCAUACCGCGUGGGUGAAGAAGGCCUUCGGGUUGUAAAGCCCUUUUGUUGGGAAAGAAAAGCAGCAGGUUAAUACCCCGCUGUUCUGACGGUACCCAAAGAAUAAGCACCGGCUAACUUCGUG